CUACGGGACGCUGCAGUGGGGAAUAUUGCACAAUGGGCGCAAGCCUGAUGCAGCGACGCCGCGUGAGCGAAGAAGGUCUUCGGAUCGUAAAGCUCUGUCCUUGAUGACGAAAAAAGUGACGGUAAUCAAGGAGGAAGCCCCGGCUAACUACGUGCCAGCAGCCGCGGUAAUACGUAGGGGGCGAGCGUCGUCCGGAAUCACUGGGCGUAAAGGGUGAGUAGGCGGUAAUGUGUGUCAGAUGUUAAAGGCAUAGGCUUAACCUGUGUAAGCAUUUGAAACUGCAUUACUUGAGUGCAGGAGAGGUGAGUGGAAUUCCUAGUGUAGCGGUGAAAUGCGUAGAUAUUAGGAGGAACACCAGUGGCGAAGGCGACUCACUGGACUGUAACUGACGCUGAGUCACGAAAGCGUGGGGAGCGAACAGGAUUAGAUACCCGAGUAGUC
rnacentral:rRNA from 1 species